GCGAGAGUGGCGGAACUGGUAGACGCGCACGUUUGAGGGGCGUGUGGUUUUUCCAUACGGGUUCAAGUCCCGUUUCUCGCA
rnacentral:tRNA from 1 species